rnacentral:rRNA from 1 species
GUCGAGAAUCUUCUGCAAUGGGCGCAAGCCUGACAGAGCGACGCCGCGUGGAGGAAGAAGGCCUUCGGGUUGUAAACUCCUGUCACGGGUUAAGAAGAGUGGUUUGACUAAUACUUGAGCCUUUCUGACAAAGGCCCGAGAGGAAGCCACGGCUAACUCUGUGCCAGCAGCCGCGGUAAUUCAGAGGUGGCAAGCGUUGUUCGGAACCACUGGGCGUAAAGGGCGCGUAGGCGGUGGCGUAAGUUCGUGGUGAAAUCCCCCGGCUCAACCGGGGAAUGGCUGCGAAUACUGCGUUGCUUGAGGGUGAGAGGGGAGAGUGGAACUUCUGGUGGAGCGGUGAAAUGCGUAGAUAUCAGAAGGAACGCCGGAGGCGAAAGCGACUCUCUAGAUCACUCCUGACGCUGAGGCGCGAAAGCUAGGGGAGCAAAAGGGAUUAGAAACCCUUGUAGUCC